CCGCGGCCACCGGCACGGUCAGCACCGGCACCUCGGAGGUGCCCUUGAGGACGGUGAUCCGGACGUUCUGGCCGUUCAGCCCGGCCGGCAGCGGG
rnacentral:tRNA from 1 species